AGUGAACGCUGGCGGUAGGCCUAACACAUGCAAGUCGAACGGCAGCACAGUAAGAGCUUGCUCUUACGGGUGGCGAGUGGCGGACGGGUGAGGAAUACAUCGGAAUCUACUUUUUCGUGGGGGAUAACGUAGGGAAACUUACGCUAAUACCGCAUACGACCUACGGGUGAAAGCAGGGGAUCUUCGGACCUUGCGCGAUUGAAUGAGCCGAUGUCGGAUUAGCUAGUUGGCGGGGUAAAGGCCCACCAAGGCGACGAUCCGUAGCUGGUCUGAGAGGAUGAUCAGCGACACUGGAACUGAGACACGGUCCAGACUCCUACGGGAGGCAGCAGUGGCGAAUAUUGGACAAUGGGCGCAAGCCUGAUACAGCCAUACCGCGUGGGUGAAGAAGGCCUUCGGGUUGUAAAGCCCUUUUGUUGGGAAAGAAAAGCAGCAGGUUAAUACCCCGCUGUUCUGACGGUACCCAAAGAAUAAGCACCGGCUAACUUCGUG
rnacentral:rRNA from 1 species